rnacentral:tRNA from 1 species
CAGAGGAUAGUUUAGUUUAAAAUGCCCGUUUUGGGGGCGGGAGAUGAGGCGGUAGGCCUUUCCUUUGA